rnacentral:rRNA from 1 species
GUGGGGAAUUUUGGACAAUGGGCGCAAGCCUGAUCCAGCAAUGCCGCGUGCAGGAAGAAGGCCUUCGGGUUGUAAACUGCUUUUGUACGGAACGAAACGGUCCGGGUUAAUACCUGGGGUCCAUGACGGUACCGUAAGAAUAAGCACCGGCUAACUACGUGCCAGCAGCCGCGGUAAUACGUAGGGUGCAAGCGUUAAUCGGAAUUACUGGGCGUAAAGAGUGCGCAGGCGGUUAUAUAAGACAGAUGUGAAAUCCCCGGGCUCAACCUGGGAACUGCAUUUGUGACUGUAUAGCUAGAGUACGGCAGAGGGGGAUGGAAUUCCGCGUGUAGCAGUGAAAUGCGUAGAUAUGCGGAGGAACACCGAUGGCGAAGGCAAUCCCCUGGGCCUGUACUGACGCUCAUGCACGAAAGCGUGGGGAGCAAACAGGAUUAGAAACCCGUGUAGUCC